CAUUUUAAAAUAAUAUAUUAAAAAAAUAAAAUGGAUGAUUCAGUUGAGAUACUAAAUAAACAUAAUUUUCUUUUGUUGAUAUAUUUCUGGUUGGACCCACGUAUGCAUUGCGAAAAGUGGUCAUAAAGUCAAAUAGUGGGCCCAUUCACACUCUCAAUAGAGAAUGAAAAUUGAAGAACACCAAAAUGGCGUUCUCUAAUUUUCUUUGUAAAGUUUAAAGAACAAAAAUUAUUUGUUUUUCAAUACUGUAGCGUUUUCUUAAAGAAUGAGCCCACCAAACAAAUUUUAUAUAGUUUCUUUUUCAAAAAACAGAAAAUAACAUAUAAAAAAUGUUACCAAACGCACCCUUAACUUCUAGGAGUUUCUGAUAUUCUCUUAAAUCAACAUAAAUUAACAUAGUUCCUUUAUUUUGGUAUUUUCAAAAGUCAAACGGAGUAUUUGAACGUUAAAUUUAUGCUACUGUGCUGCAUCAACAGUAAAAAAAAGUACAAAAUUUAUGAAAAUCUAUAAAUAUUGUUGUUUCUUUUUUAAUAUCAAUCGUAUGGGACAAUUUAUGGUAUAUAUUAUCAAUCUUCAAAAAGAAACAACAAUAUAUAAGUAAAUAAAUAAAAAUAUAUUAAUAAUGCUACAUUAAUAUAAAAAAAAGUUAGGUUACAAAAGUUUGAUAAAGACAUAAAAAGAUUAAAUAUCAAGUCGAUCAACUUAUUUUUUGUCAAAAUAUUUUCAUUUCUUUCAUUUUUUUUGUAUUAAACUUUGAUUGUAUUGUAUAUAAUACUACAAAAAUAAAAGCACAAUCAGUAAUUUCAAACUUCAUAUAUUUUUUCUUCUCUGGUGGUGAGUUCGAUGGGGGUAUCUUUUGACCAGCGGCGAGCGGCAGAUAUUCAAGACAGCUGCCACGUUGGAGCAGUUAUAACGUAGGUAGCCUCCAGAAUCGUCGGAUACACGUGGCUGAAUUUAAAAUAACUGUAAAAACCUACAUUCAAUGGUCCUAGAAACUGCUCUAUAUUGGUGAUGCUCCAUCAUUAUCGAACCCAAUAUUCAAUUAUUAUCCGAUAAAAUGCGUUGGACAUUUGAUUGAAGAAUGAUUUGUUCCCUGGGAUUUGAAAAAUUUCACCUACAGUCGCGACAUUGGAGGUCCUAUCGAAAUUCCAGCUACUUUUUAGAAUUGAUACCGGGCUAUAUAACAUAAGACAAAUCCUGACCCAAAUCAUCCUGUUGCCAUCUCUACUCAUUGAAUAAAAUUGCAUAUAAGGUGUGCUAUAUUUAGAGAGUCUUGCAUGUUAUCACUUCCAAAAUUGAUUUUUGGAUGGUUUUUGUUUUUUCACUUGACAGUUGAUGCAGCCUAAGAAAUUGAAGAAUUCACUGAAAUUUAUAAUAUUUAGAAAUAGUUUAAUUAAUUUGUAUUCUAUUUUAAUUUGAUUUUCUAUUUAGAGUUUUUUCGUUUAUUCAUUGCGUAUUUGAGUUAUACUCCUAAUUUAGGUAUAAAUCUUGUUAAAAUAAAUUUUCUACUCAAAUUAGGAUAAGUCUUAGAGAUCAUAAAUAAGUGUCUUUUGUAACUUUACAAGUAAGUCUUGAUUAUUUGUUAGAAUAAAUUAUAAAUUUAAGUUCAAUAAUAUUCUCAAUUUCUAAAGCUCCAUGUGAAUUUUUUAAUUUAAUUAGUUCUUGUUAUUCUGUGGAAUCAACGAAGCCUUAACUAGUGGCGAAGCUAGCAACAUAUUUUGGGGUGAGCUAUUAAUUUUUUUAUAAGUAUUAAUGAAGACAAAUUCAUAAAUUAUAGUUAAUUGUUUUUUUUUUCCAAAAAGCUAACCCGGGUUGUAGCUCGAGUUAGCCAACUCUUAGCUUCGCCACUGGCCUUAACUUCUAAGAAUUCCCGAUAUUCUCUUAAAUCAACGUGAAUUAACAUAGUUCUUUUAUUUUAGUAUUCUCAAGAGUCAAACGGAAUAUUUGAACGUUAAAUUUAUGCUACUGUGCUGCAUCAACAGUAAAAAAAAGUACAAAAUUUAUGAAAAUCUAUAAAUAUUGUUGUUUCUUUUUUAAUAUCAAUCGUAUGGGACAAUUUAUGGUAUAUAUUAUCAAUCUUCAAAAAG
rnacentral:lncRNA from 1 species